AUUAUUAUUAUUAUUUUUAUAUAAAUAGCAAAUUUGCCAUUUAUAAAGAAAACUACCGCCCAAGUACGUGGCCAUAUUAAUUAUCGCGGAAAUAAUACAAAUAACAAUACCGCCGAAACGCAAACCGUUUCAAAAUUUAUUAUUAUAUAACGGGGCUCCGACUUUGUUUUUAAUUUGGCGGUAUAUUAUAAAAUAUAACUUUCGCCGCGACGCGGAUUUUGUUAAUAAUUACGGCAAUUUAUAUAAGUGUUUAUAUAUAUAAUUGGAGAUAUUUGUUUAAGAAAUUAUCCAUUUUUAGUUUAAAAUAGGCGGGAAAAAUAAAACGUAUUAAUUUAUAUAUUUCUUUAAUUAUUUAAAACGUAUUUAUUAUUAAUAAUUUUUAUAAACGGGCCCAAAUUUUAAUCGAAUUGGAAACGUUAAAAAUAAAAUUAGUAAUAAUAAAGUUGUGGAAGUAAGUCCAAGGGAAAAUUAAUUAUUCAUCCAAUUCAUUACGGUUUUUAAAAACCUUUUAAUAACGGCCGGAAAAUUAGCCUGGUUAAAUGAAAUUUGUAUUAAUUCUUUUAUAUUUCCGCGUAUUUUUUAAAGUUCGGAAAACAUACGUUAAAUAAAUAUUAAAAAGAAUAUUUAUUUUGAAAUAGCAAUUAUUUACCAGUAAAUUAUUAAAGUUUAAAAACGAGCGAAUUAAAUAAACGUUCCCAACUUUACUGCGCGGUUACUGUUCCAACUUUUAAAAUAAUAGAAUACAGAAAUAUAAUUUUGAAUAAACGUGGCCGUAAUAAAAUGUAAAUUUAGCAAAAGAACAAAAAACGCUGUGAAUUUAAAUAAGGUCAAUUUUCGAAUAUUAAUAAAAAAAUACGCAUUAACGCGUUUUAUAAACUUUUAACAAUAAAUAAUAACAGAAAUAUAACAUAAGAGCGUAUUUGCGUAACGGUAAUUUAAAAUAUAAAAUAACGGACUAUAUAUACGCGACAAUCUUACAUUUAAUUAUAAUAUUAAUUAUAAUAAUAACGGAGAUUUCCGGGGGAAAAAACAAAUAGUUUUCAAAACAAAAUUUAAUUUAAAACGGGGGCCUUAAAACGCGAAUAAAAUAAAAACGGGUAAAGAAUUAAGGAAAGAAAAUAGCAAAAUCGGUUAAAUUUGAAAUUUUAUAAAUGGAUCGCCUUUUUUAUUUUUAUUUUAUAAAGUAAUUUACAAUUUAUAAAUAUAAAAAUAAGUUCAAAUUGCAAAUAUUACGCGAUAAUAUUUAAUAAGUAUAUAGUCCGGUUAAAAACAGGAAAAAUAUUUUUACCCUGCGCACGCCAAAUGGGGACGACGGUAAAACGCGCCCAAUUAAUAAUUAAAAUAUUAAUCAAAUAUAAAAUAAAUGUUAAUAAAUAAAUAACGAGUAUAUUUUUUAAUAUUAUAUUAGAAUUAAUUCAAAAUAUAAUAUUAAAAUUAUUUUAUAUAAUUUACCAAUAAAUAUUAUUUAACGCAAUACGGAAAAAAAUUAAUUUUAAAUAUAAUGAAAAAUCGAUUGGUAAAUAAAUUGUUUAUACGGUUUAUUUUAACUAAACCCACGGUAAUUUUUAAAAACGGGUUUUAACUAUAUAUUAAUGGAUGAAAAAUAUAAAAGCGAAUAAAUAAAAUUUGGGUUAAUAUUUUUCCGAAAAAAGAAUAAAUAUUUUAUAAAUAAUAAUGUUAAUUAUAUGUAUUAUUUUAUAUAUAAUUGGCCCACUUUUGCUUAUAUAUAGCCUAUAAUAUAUAAUUCCAGAAUAGGGUAAUUGGAAUUCUGUUAAUUUAUUAAUUGCAGGAAUUGCGAUUUUAAAAUUAGCGAAUUGAAUUAAUUACCUUGUACCGAAUUUAAUACCCAUUUUAUACCUGCGAGUUAAUUACCCUGUACCGGGUUAAAAAACUUAUUUUUGCGUGCAAAUUUAAAAAUGAUUUAUUAACAAAUAAAAAUAGUUUUAACAAACCCAUAUAAAUUAAUUUUUCGAAAAUUUAUAU
rnacentral:sRNA from 1 species